GGGGUAAACCCUAAUUCUCAAGAAAUCUCCAAAUGGAAAAGGGAAUUGAAGCCUAGUUGAAUGCAUGAACUAAGAAUGAUGAUCCUCUAAGCAUACCCAACAUCAAGAACGUGUCAAGGAGAGGUCAAGCAUAGGAGGAUAACGGGUCAAGAUAAGGCAAGGUGACAAAUACACUUAUUGGAGUACUCAAGGUAUCGCUUGGGUUUUCUCUACAUUUAUUGAAGUGAAGCGGACUUAGUUCAAGUUGAGAGCAAGGAUUGUACGGGGUAGAAUGGUCACAUAGUGUAACUCAUAUAGAUUUUGAAGUAUUUGAACCUUCAUGUGUUUGAUAUGUCUAUUAAAGAACGAAAUUUUUGGGCUCUUGUUUUCCGCUACGUCAACACAAGCUCGGUAACUGUUUUCGCCAUUGAUGGCUAGU
rnacentral:lncRNA from 1 species